rnacentral:rRNA from 1 species
AUAAUGGGUCAGCGACUUAUAUUCUGUAGCAAGGUUAACCGAAUAGGGGAGCCGAAGGGAAACCGAGUCUUAACUGGGCGUUAAGUUGCAGGGUAUAGACCCGAAACCCGGUGAUCUAGCCAUGGGCAGGUUGAAGGUUGGGUAACACUAACUGGAGGACCGAACCGACUAAUGUUGAAAAAUUAGCGGAUGACUUGUGGCUGGGGGUGAAAGGCCAAUCAAACCGGGAGAUAGCUGGUUCUCCCCGAAAGCUAUUUAGGUAGCGCCUCGUGAAUUCAUCUCCGGGGGUAGAGCACUGUUUCGGCAAGGGGGUCAUCCCGACUUACCAACCCGAUGCAAACUGCGAAUACCGGAGAAUGUUAUCACGGGAGACACACGGCGGGUGCUAACGUCCGUCGUGAAGAGGGAAACAACCCAGACCGCCAGCUAAGGUCCCAAAGUCAUGGUUAAGUGGGAAACGAUGUGGGAAGGCCCAGACAGCCAGGAUGUUGGCUUAGAAGCAGCCAUCAUUUAAAGAAAGCGUAAUAGCUCACUGGUCGAGUCGGCCUGCGCGGAAGAUGUAACGGGGCUAAACCAUGCACCGAAGCUGCGGCAGCGACGCUGAUGCGUUGUUGGGUAGGGGAGCGUUCUGUAAGCCUGCGAAGGUGUGCUGUGAGGCAUGCUGGAGGUAUCAGAAGUGCGAAUGCUGACAUAAGUAACGAUAAAGCGGGUGAAAAGCCCGCUCGCCGGAAGACCAAGGGUUCCUGUCCAACGUUAAUCGGGGCAGGGUGAGUCGACCCCUAAGGCGAGGCCGAAAGGCGUAGUCGAUGGGAAACAGGUUAAUAUUCCUGUACUUGGUGUUACUGCGAAGGGGGGACGGAGAAGGCUAUGUUGGCCGGGCGACGGUUGUCCCGGUUUAAGCGUGUAGGCUGGUUUUCCAGGCAAAUCCGGAAAAUCAAGGCUGAGGCGUGAUGACGAGGCACUACGGUGCUGAAGCAACAAAUGCCCUGCUUCCAGGAAAAGCCUCUAAGCAUCAGGUAACAUCAAAUCGUACCCCAAACCGACACAGGUGGUCAGGUAGAGAAUACCAAGGCGCUUGAGAGAACUCGGGUGAAGGAACUAGGCAAAAUGGUGCCGUAACUUCGGGAGAAGGCACGCUGAUAUGUAGGUGAAGCGACUUGCUCGUGGAGCUGAAAUCAGUCGAAGAUACCAGCUGGCUGCAACUGUUUAUUAAAAACACAGCACUGUGCAAACACGAAAGUGGACGUAUACGGUGUGACGCCUGCCCGGUGCCGGAAGGUUAAUUGAUGGGGUUAGCGCAAGCGAAGCUCUUGAUCGAAGCCCCGGUAAACGGCGGCCGUAACUAUAACGGUCCUAAGGUAGCGAAAUUCCUUGUCGGGUAAGUUCCGACCUGCACGAAUGGCGUAAUGAUGGCCAGGCUGUCUCCACCCGAGACUCAGUGAAAUUGAACUCGCUGUGAAGAUGCAGUGUACCCGCGGCAAGACGGAAAGACCCCGUGAACCUUUACUAUAGCUUGACACUGAACAUUGAGCCUUGAUGUGUAGGAUAGGUGGGAGGCUUUGAAGUGUGGACGCCAGUCUGCAUGGAGCCGACCUUGAAAUACCACCCUUUAAUGUUUGAUGUUCUAACGUGGACCCGUAAUCCGGGUUGCGGACAGUGUCUGGUGGGUAGUUUGACUGGGGCGGUCUCCUCCUAAAGAGUAACGGAGGAGCACGAAGGUUGGCUAAUCCUGGUCGGACAUCAGGAGGUUAGUGCAAUGGCAUAAGCCAGCUUGACUGCGAGCGUGACGGCGCGAGCAGGUGCGAAAGCAGGUCAUAGUGAUCCGGUGGUUCUGAAUGGAAGGGCCAUCGCUCAACGGAUAAAAGGUACUCCGGGGAUAACAGGCUGAUACCGCCCAAGAGUUCAUAUCGACGGCGGUGUUUGGCACCUCGAUGUCGGCUCAUCACAUCCUGGGGCUGAAGUAGGUCCCAAGGGUAUGGCUGUUCGCCAUUUAAAGUGGUACGCGAGCUGGGUUUAGAACGUCGUGAGACAGUUCGGUCCCUAUCUGCCGUGGGCGCUGGAGAAUUGAGGGGGGCUGCUCCUAGUACG